rnacentral:lncRNA from 1 species
UCAGACAGGGUCUCAUUCUGUUCAACCAGGCUGGAGUACAGUGACACAAUCUCGGCUCACUACAAUCUCUGCCUCCUGCCAGGCUCUAGAGAUCCUCCCACCUCAACCUCAUGAGUGGCUGGGACUACAGGUGUGGGCCAUGAUGCCCAGAAAGACUGCACAAAGCACGAUUCCCUUGUACUAGGGCGCAUCCUGCGGCUGCAUCCUGCGCAUGAGAUGGACAUGAAGGGAACUCAGCUCCACCAAGAUCCGCCUGCAUGACCAGACCCUGAUGCGGGCAUUAGAGACGCGCCCGUGGAAUGCAGCCUAGUCUGACUGAGAACAGCCCUGUGAAUACAAAUGUUUCUAAAAUGGCUGACUCUGUACAAGAGUAAAUAAGAACCUUUCCAGCUUUUCAUUUAGUCACAAGAUCAGGAGGUCUCGUCACCCCAAAUAGAGUAGAGAAUUGAGGUAGUUUUCCAGCUGAGCCAGGCAAAGUAAGAAGAUGGGGGAAGGUGACUUUCCCAGCAAAGACCUUGCCUUUUAAUGUUCUUUUUAAAAGAAUAGAGCUCAGACUGAACUAAUCCCCCAUGAAUAUAUGCCUUAGGAAAUAAUUUUUAUUAAUAGCUGAAUAUUUUUACUUUCUUUCCCAGGCACCCAAAUAUUAGGCUUAUGAUAUUUAGUUGCAUGCAUAUAUCAUUGUGUCAAAGAAAAGGGGGAAAUCCAGCCUUAAUAAAAAAUAAUUUAUUAACUUUUCCAGGUCCUAUAAAUUUAAUAUGCUGUGGGUUCCUGCUCUCAUUGCAGAUUUCUUUUAGAAGUAUAUUUAUGAGUAUGAGCUUAUAAUAUUUUUCAACAGUUUAUCGGUAAAUACCAACAAAACAAAGAUCUCUGAUGCACAUAAUCCACAGAAACAUGGUUCGGGUGACUACAUGUCAGUUAGCCAUGCUAUUUGUUUUGUGUCAUUUUUCUCUCAACCAGUUCAUUUCUUUCCCCAAGAGAAAUAGCUGAAGCUGGUUUAUAUUGCUCCAUAAAUGUUAAGCAUUGAUGUAUUCAUUUUCUGAACACAAAAUAACAAUAAUUUUUUGUCACCCUCCUUCUAAAUCAUACUCCCUGUUCUUAACACUAUGUUUUAUGUUGUUGUUGUCGUUGUUAGGAUGCAAGUUUAUUUUAUUCUUUUUUGCAGUAAUAAUAACCACAAAAUAUAAUCUCUGUAUAAAUAUAAUUUUUCUUCUCCAUAAUUGCACAUAAAAUCUAUCCUACUUGGAAACUGCAGCAAGUAGAAGAAUCACUAUAAAUGCUGGCCUCAGGGAAUCUACGAUUUCUUCAAGAUUUAAGGCAGAAAUAUUCAGAGGCCAGGUUACUCAAACAAGACCAACCAUUUUUUGUUAGUUUUUUUAUUUUUCUUUUCUGCAAAAUAUUACCUAAAGGUAGCCCUAAGCACUAAGGGAUUGAGGUUUCUAUUUAGUCUACAACUGAACUAACAGGUUUUUGCUACCUGUGGGUAUCAACUUGGGAUUUCAGUUAGUUAAGCAGCUUUGGAUCUAAAAUAAAACACUUAAGGGACCAGUGAAAAUGUAGAUUGCAAGAAAUCUGCAGACUUUGGAACUUAUCAAUUUAUUAAAAUUUACUUUUUUUUAGAACAAUUUUAGGCUUACAGAAAAACUCUAAAGAGAGUAUAGAGAAUUCCCACAUAUUCCGUACUUACAUUCCCCUUCGUGUCUGACUGAAACCCCAUCUGUGUGCCCUCUCUUUACAUAAAUGUAAUAAAACCUAGGCAUUAUUAUAUUUUUGUAUUUCCUACUGUGUCUAUAUGUGCUCAUUCAUGCUAUGCCCUAACAAUUAUAUAUGUAUUAUAUAUAUAUACACAUUACAUGCAUAAUAUACAUAUAUAUUAUAUGUAUGUAUGUGUAUGUGUUGUAGAUAUGAAAAUUGAUAUUUUGUAUUUUAAAUUUGGGAAUAGAAAUCUAUAGUACUGCCCGAAUAAUGCCAUCGCACUUGGCUUAAGAAACCAAGAACAGCUUUGAGAGGUGAGAGAGUCCAUGGAAAGCUGGAAUCUGUCCACCUUCUGAUGAAAUUUGACCCUCUAGGGGGAACUACCAAUAGGGUAAAAGAUGCCACCUCUGCUGUGAAACCUACACCACAGCCUUUGCUCUUUGUAUUAAUUCUGGACUUAUUUCUAAGGAUCAAGGAUAGUGGAGCAUGGUAGAAAGAAUUUUGUAAUAUUAUCAAAUGUUUCAACCUCUUAUCUUUGAAAUAUAGGGUUGGGACUAAAUAAUCUUUAAAGUCCCUUCUCAGUCAUAAUAUUGCGUGGGGCAGAGGUGAAAGGAGUGCUUUAUAUGGAUAAAGAAAAAUUCUCAUCAAUCUGUAUCCUUUUGUCCUGUGCAUUAUCAAAAGAAAGACAAAAAUAUAGAAUUUGCUUUAAGCCAUGUUUAUUCCAAGCUAAUGUAAAAUUGAGAAGUUUGAUUAAAAAUCAAACAUGUUGAAAAUACUUAGAAGUAUAAUGGGCCGUGGAGAAACAUUAGAGAUUUUGUCCUUAAAAAAGGUAAAAGUCUUUGAAUAACAUUUACUUAAUAAAUGAUUUGAUGUUUCUUUCAUCAGAAUUAUUGUUUGUGCAAUUGUCUUUUCACUAUGCUGU